rnacentral:snRNA from 1 species
AUGCUUGCUCUGGCAGCACAUAAACUAAAACUGAAACAAUAGAGAGAUUAUCAUGGCCUCUGUCCAAAAGUGAUAGGCAAAUUUGUAAAUCAUUUCAUACUUCU